rnacentral:rRNA from 1 species
GACUCGUGGCAGAUAGCUCAGUAACACGUGGCCAAACUACCCUAUAGAUCCGGCCAACCUCGGGAAACUGAGGCUAAUCCGGAAUAACGCUUUCAGCCUGGAGUGGCGAGAGCGUGAAACGCUCCGGCGCUAUAGGAUGUGGCUGCGGCCGAUUAGGUAGACGGUGGGGUAACGGCCCACCGUGCCAGUAAUCGGUACGGGUUGUGAGAGCAAGAGCCCGGAGACGGUAUCUGAGACAAGAUACCGGGCCCUACGGGGCGCAGCAGGCGCGAAACCUUUACACUGCACGCGAGUGCGAUAAGGGGACUCCAGGUGCGAGGGCAUAUAGUCCUCGCUUUUCUCGACCGUAGGGAGGUCGAGGAACAAGUGCUGGGCAAGACCGGUGCCAGCCGCCGCGGUAAUACCGGCAGCACAAGUGAUGACCGCUGUUAUUGGGCCUAAAGCGUCCGUAGCUGGCCAGACAAGUUCAUCGGGAAAUCUGCGCGCCUAACGCGCAGGCGUCCGGUGGA